CUUACACCUGAAAGAUACUUGCUAACCACGAGUCGUCUUGAUGCCAAACUCUAGCCCAAUCGACAUGACCUGGAAUAACAAAGCUACUGCCCCACACCCAACUAAAGCAUUUACUAGUCCCAGUAUAGGCGAUAGAAAAGACACCAUUGGAGCUAUAGAGACCACGUACCGUAAGGGAAAGAUGAAAUAGCAGUGAAAUAAGACAAGCUAUAAACAGCAAAGAUCAGCCCUUGUACCUUUUGCAUCAUGGUCUAGCAAGAAAAACCAAGCAAAAUGAAUUUAAGUUUGCCACCCCGAAACCCAAGCGAGCUACUCACGAGCAGCUAUCAUUGAGCGAACCCGUCUCUGUAGCAAAAGAGUGGGAUGACUUGUUAGUAGAGGUGAAAAGCCAACCGAGCUGGGUGAUAGCUGGUUGCCUGUGAAACGAAUCUAAGUUCACUCUUAAUUCUUCUCCAAGGAAAAUCAACAAACCCUAAUGAAGCGAAUUAAGGGCAAUUUAAAGGAGGGACAGCUCCUUUAAAAAAGAAUACAAUCUCCACGAGCGGAUAAGCAUUUAAACCCCAAACUUUAAUGUGGGCCCUCAAGCAGCCACCAACAAAGAGUGCGUUAAAGCUCAGUACCCCAAAAAUAUAAAAACUCUGCGACUCCCUCCCCACUAACAGGCCAACCUAUAUACAAAUAGGAGAGUUAAUGCUAGAAUAAGUAACCAGGGUCCUCCCUCUACGACGCAAGCUUACAUCUGUACAUUAUUAACAAACCACCCAUAUACGACCAAUCAAACAAGCAGAGUAUUAAGUAUCUUGUUAACCCGACAGAGGAGCGUCC
rnacentral:rRNA from 1 species